ACUCCUACGGGAGGCAGCAGUGGGGAAUAUUGCAUAAUGGGCGCAAGCCUGAUGCAGCAACGCCGUGUGAGUGAAGAAGGUUUUCGGAUCGUAAAACUCUGUCCUAAGGGAAGAAACAAAUGACGGUACCUUAGGAGGAAGCCCCGGCUAACUACGUGCCAGCAGCCGCGGUAAUACGUAGGGGGCAAGCGUUAUCCGGAAUCACUGGGCGUAAAGGGUGCGUAGGCGGCUUAGCAAGCCAGGGGUGAAAGGCAUUGGCUCAACCAAUGUAAGCCUUUGGAACUGUUAAGCUUGAGUGCAGGAGAGGUAAGUGGAAUUCCUAGUGUAGAGGUGAAAUUCGUAGAUAUUAGGAGGAACACCAGUGGCGAAGGCGACUUACUGGACUGUAACUGACGCUGAUGCACGAAAGCGUGGGUAGCGAACAGGAUUAGAUACCCUGGUAGCACAGAG
rnacentral:rRNA from 1 species